rnacentral:lncRNA from 1 species
CCCAUUCAUUAAGUCCAUUUUAUUACAUGAUCAUUCAAAUUCAAAUAGCAUGUUCAUACAUUAAACACAGUAAUUUUUUAUUCAAAAAGCCAAUUUUAUUCAUUAUCAUACAUAAAUGUUCAUUACAUACCAAAUAAAUCCAAAAUAAAUUACAUGUUGACCAAUUGUUGACUUUGGUCAACAUUUGACUUUUUGGUCAACUUUGACCAAAGUCAACAUAAGUCCUUGUUCAUCCAAAAUCACUAAAUGACUAGUCUUAACUCUAAUUUCAUCCUCCAUUUCCAUUUUACCUUGAUUUGGCUAUGUAGGCUUGAUUUCCCACUUUGAUUAUCAAUAUGGCUUCAUGCCUUGCCAUGCCUUAAGUUUUGCCUUGCAACAUUGCCACAAGUAAGCCUUGCACCAAAAUACAAUCUUGCAUUCAUAACAAUGACUAAAAGCAUGAAAUGACUUGACCUCAAAAUUAACACAUACCCAUAAAGCCAACCAAGCAAUGCAUAUUCAUGGCAAGCACAUAGCCAUACAUGAACAUAUUUCAUAUUUCAACAUGACAUUUAAGACCAAGAAGAAACCUAUUAACCUUGCCACAUUCCAUAGCAGACCAAGAAUCAACACAGAUUAUGCACCAUGUAGAACAUUCACCAUAUGACUCCCUCAUGUUGCAGCCUACAUACACGACCCUGCCUGCAUCAAUUGAACACACACCAAGUGAGGACCUUAAGCCACAAACUUACAUUGCAGAACCUAAGCCAAUAGCAUCCUGCAUCACCAAUCCAACAUCAAUGAUCAAGCUAAGCAAGCCAGUCCUGCAACAGAUUAUUCAUUGCAUCCAGACAUCAAGUUCAGUUAGCAGGAUUUCUAUCACUGCAUAGAAAACAAAGCAUAAUCAUCAUAUCAGCCAUUGUACCCAUUCAGCAGACCAUGACAGAAGCUUAACAUUUUAUUCAACUGCACCAACAAGAAAAUGAUUGCAUCAAUACAUUUCAGUGAAAACUACCAGUAGGCCACAUUUUUCUAAACACCCCAUCAACUAACUGCUGAAUCAAUGGAUUUUCACAGCUCAUUCAAUGCCACUAUCCAGAUAUCAAAAAAUUCAAAGUUAACAACUAAUAGUUUAUGAUAGGUCAUGAAUAAUUUUAAAUCUAACUAACUUUCAAUUCUUAUAGCUAAUUCCUAUAACUAACUUCUAAUAGAUGGAAUUAACGGAACUUGAUCUCUAACCAUUUUGAACUUUCACGAUUUAAUAGAGUUUAAUCUCUAUUAUAUCCGACGAGCUAUAUAAAUCAUCAUUCACCAUUCAGAAGGAGUUUUUUCAUAACAUUCUUCACUCAUCACACUUUGCUCUCCAAUCUCAAUCAUUCUCAGAUUAUCCCUUUCUUCUCUCUCACUUCUCUCUCUCAAUCCCUCACCCAGAGCUCUUUCUCCAUAGCCAUUGAAGCUUUAUAUUGAAGCUUUAAUUUUCUUGAGCUAAACCAUCAGAAUAUCACUUCUCUCUCACGCAGUCCAUCUCUCAGAAUUAGUAAGAAAAAGAAGACGUGCAAGAGGAGUAGAGGGGAAGGAAUUGAAAUAGAAGAAAGAAAGAGAGUUUGGAGUAAAAAUCACCUGAGGAGCUUGGAGAUAUCUGGUUCGUGUAUUAUCUUCGUCAUUGAAGAGUCACCGGAACUACUCCGACAAGUAGGCCAUCGCGUCUUCACCUUUUUUCAUCUUUUUUCUCCAUUCUUGAUACCAUGCGAAGGCUUGAGAUGCGUCGAGUAGAAGCCCUAAGGUCUCGUCAGUUAAUCGUUCACCGUAAAAAUUUAGUUUAUGAUUCUUUAGGUUAGGGUUCAAACAUAUUUUGGUUCGGUUAGGACAUUAGAGGCUGGAGUAGGUUAAAAUGAUGUUGGACUAAGAUUGAGGACAUGAAGAGGGAGAGUUUAGUGGUCAAUUUUUUGAAUUCUACAAAAUCUCUGUAGCCGAGGGAACCUCCGGCACGACGGAGACAACAACGAAAAUAGAAGUGUAAGCUUUGAGAGUGUGGUGUUCUAAGCCUCUCAUUUUAUUUCCCCAUGUGCAUUAGCCUUGCUGAAUCAUCACCACACAUGUUAUAUUCCAUUGCUUUGUUGCUUCUGAUGGGUUUAGCAUGAAUGGGCCCAAGCUUUGUUCUCACCAUCACCCUGAAUAGCCUUAUGCACCCCCUGGCCAAGACUAGUUCAAUGGGCCUUUCAGCCAUGGGCCCAUACGCCUGAGUUUGUGUUCUUCACCUUUUCAAGGAUUCAUACCCCCCAACCCAUUGCAGAAUAAUGGGUUUUCCAUUGGGUAGGCCUCUGCACCCAUUGUUCUUGGCGCCCUGGUUUCAGGGCCUGCACCCUUGUUGAGCCCAUUUCAUUUUUGUUUUAAUCAUGUGUUUGUUAAUUGUUUUUUCAGCCUUGUUAAUUUUUGUUAAUUAGGAUAAUUAGGAAAUAAUAAUUAGGAUUAACAUUUUAGAACUUAAUUAGAAUUAGGAUUUUAAUCUUGAUUAGAAUUAAUUAGAGAUACUUAUGAUAAUUGAUUUUAAUUAGAUUUUAAUUCUAGAAUGAAUGUCCUAAUUGAUUUCCCAUGUAAAUUGACUAUUUUAACCCUAGGGUUUAGUCAUAGAAUUUCAUGUUCCCUUAGAUUAGGUUUUGGGAUUUAGAUUAGGUGAUCAUUUUAAUCAAUUUGUUUCUCAUGUGAUAUUUGAUGUUUGAUGAUUAAUUUGAUUCUAAUCUCUACACGAUCCCUUAGUUAGAAUUUGUACAUAUCACUUAACCUUUAGAUUAGGAUGUACAUAAUUAACCAUUAACUCAAUCCCUUUGAUUCAAGUAGAUAAAAAUAAAUUUUGAUUAACUAAAUCCUUUGAUUUGUGUAUAAUCUCUCAGUCUAUUCAAGUGAUCAAAAGCUCAUUGAUCACUUCAUAGGACUAUUUUCGUAAUGUUGUGGAUCUCAAGGCUUCAAGUUCAAACUUUCAUGCAAGGCAUCCCAGACAAACCAAGAAGUGGAUUAUACAAGGAACAUCAAAGGUGUUUCUUCAAGAGCUUAUCAAUCAGGAUUCAAGUUGAAUGCCAUGAGCCUUAACUAACAAAGAAUGAUGAGAGUGGAGAAUUCUUAUCCUUGUUUAGGGUAUCCUUGGAUGCGGGACGAGUGACCCAGUUGCUCAAGGUAUUCACCUUUGUUCAUAGACUUUAGUGAAAUGUGAAUUAAAUGAUUCACAAAGUCUUCAUUAUCACAAGGAGAAACAAGGAUUCUUCUUCAACAACUUUAAAUUUAUGAUGAAAAUCAUAUGCAUGAUCCUUAAGUAAAAAAGAAUUAUGAGAGUGGAGAAUUCUUAUCCUUGUCCAGGGUAUCCUUGGGUACGAGAUGAAUGACCCAGUUUCUCAAGGUAUUCGCCUUUGUUCAUAGAAUUUAGUGUGGUUCAUAUCAAAUGACUUCCAAGUUUUCUUUAUCUUCCAUUAUCAUACAUCAUCUCUCUUGCCUCAGUCUCUUGCUAUCUCUCCGUUCAUAGUGGGUCGAACCACGAAAGCUCUGACUUUCUCAUUGCAUGGUGAGAAUACGCAGGCACAAGGAUUCAGAUUCUCCAUGAUCUAUCUUAUUUAUUAACUCUUCAACACUCAAAUAUAUCCUUCUUUCCGUUCGUAGUGUGACGGCCUACAAAAGCUCUGACUUUUUCAUUACACGGUGAGAAUACGUAGGCACGAGGAUUCAGAUUCUCCGCGAGAUAUCUUAUUUAUAAACCCUUCAUUGUUCAUUCAUUAAUCAAUAUCAUAUUUUUGAAAUUAAAUACUUUAUCCCCUUUGGAUUCCAUAACCAAUGUCUUCCUUUGAACCAAGAGAUGUUUGUGCUAUCAAACCAAACACUUUAUUCUUUCCUUUUUUGCCAAUAAGCUUGUUUACUCUUUGGUUCAGAGUUUAUUCCUUCAUGGAUCUAAUAUACCAUUCUUCUUUGAUUUCAAAUUGUUUGUUCCCUACAGUGAUAUACUAUUCCUUGUACCAAACAAAACUUUCUUAUGGGCCCCAUAUAUAUCCUUUUAGGACGAAAUAAUCGGAGACUGUCUUGUGAACCAAGAGAUGUUUGUGCCGUCAAGCCAAACACUUUAUUCCUUCUCUUUUGGCCAAUCAGCCUAUUUACUCUUUGGUUCAAUCAUUCGUUGGCACACCUACGUGCAUUAAUAAUAACAUUUCAUGGUUAUCAUUGCAUUUUAAACGUCAAGCCAAACACUUUAUUCCUUCUCUUUUGGCCAAUCAGCCUAUUUACUCUUUGGUUCAAUCAUUCGUUGGCACACCUACGUGCAUUAAUAAUAACAUUUCAUGGUUAUCAUUGCAUUUUAAGCCCCACAAAAGUCCAAUCAUUCGUUGGCACACCUACGUGCAUUAAUAAUAACAUUUCAUGGUUAUCAUUGCAUUUUAAGGCCUAUAUCAAUCGAAACUUAAAGAGAAUUUGAUCAUGGUUAUCAUUGCAUUAUGUUGGUAAUUUGUUCACUUCUAAAUUAUCCCACCUUCAUUCAUUUUCCUUUGCAUCAUCCAUGAUAAUAAGUCAUUUUUUUGGGCCUUUGGCCAUUGUUACUCAUACUUGCUUUAGCAUAUCACCACCAUUUAAAUUGGAGCUUUGAGUUCAUUUUAUCUCAUUAGAACUAAUUUCUUUAUUUUAAUUUUUUUUUGCAUUAGAUUGACAAAAGGAUCAUGUUCUUGAAGGACACUAGCUCCUCGUUUGUAGCAACAUGGUUUCAUCGACAUCCAUAACAUCAUUAUCACACCAACAUGAUUCACACAUACAUAAAAAUAAAUUGAAAAUUGGAAAAAAGGAAAUGACAUGAAACACAUGGAAACUCGUGAAGUAUCAUCAACAUACAUCAAUCCUUCAUCAUCCCAUCACAUGCCAUAUAAACCUCACGUAACUCAUGCUCUCAGUCAUAAUUUUUUCACCCUUCAAAUUCCCUCCAAAAUCACUCAAUACUCACCUCUUUUCCCCCUCAAAAUCUUCUCACGAGGAUCACCACAUCGUCCCAAUUCUCCUCUAUAAGUAAACCUCAUUGCUCGCUCUCUAAAACACACAAGAUUCUCUACUAAAUCUCUGCAUAAAUAUCUCCCAAAUCCCUAGCAAACUUCUGCUCGAAUCUAGGCACACCUUCAACACUUGCAGAAAGAAAACAAAGAUAGAAUCAUUGGAAGAAGUUUAGAAGGAAAAGAGACGAAGAAGUAGAGAGGAUAAUACAUACCUAAAUGUAGUGAAGGUCGCAUGAGUUCUCUCCGGAAACUCCAUGUUUUCGACAAGGUUCUUUUUUCCAUUUUUCAUACCAGUUUACCUUCCUUGUUGCAUUUUUAUUAUCAAUUUUCUCUCUACUGUUAUAACUCUAUGUAAUCGUGAUGACUUAAUGAGAAUGUGGGGGCUAGGGUUAAAUUGGGAAAAGGGUAUUUUGUUUGUUUGAUUGAGAUUCUGAUUAAACUAAUGCUAGAUUCGGUUUCAGAUAGGAAAAUUGAGUGGAGUUUGUGUUAUGAGUUUUCGCAUUUGAUGUGGUUUGGGAAAAAUCUGGAAAACUGAUGAACACCUUCAUGGAGUUCAUCGUUGUGUUCAUAGGUAUUUGGCUUUUGAUCCGUUUCAGAAGAAAAAUAAAGCUUGAAAAUUGUUUAUGAAAGAGAGAGGGAGAGAGAGAAAAGAGAGAACAUGGAGUGGGGAGAGAGAAGGAGAAGUCAGUUAUGAUUUUCUCACGUGUUGCUUCCUUUUUUUUCAUCACAAUCUCACUCCCUUGGUCACAUAUGGCCUAGUUGUUAACCAUUGGAUCGUACGACCUGGUUUUCAUUGAUGUGGGUCCCACAUGGGCACCCAACUUUAUUUACCAUGCGUCUGCUUAAAGUUUUCCCUUUGAUCUUGUGACGGAAUGAUCUGAUGGAUGAGGUUGAGUCAACACAUGUUGACUACCUCAUACCUUUGUCUGGGCUUACUACACCUUUGGGCCUUCUCUAGCCCCGGGGGCCUCUUUGCUUCCAAUACCCCCUUUUUAUUUUAAUCUAUAUCUUUUUUUAUUAUUAUAUGUUAUGUUUUUUUAUCCUUGGCACAUUGUUUUGCUACUUGCAUAUACUCCUCAUAUUUCUUACACCCGUCCCCUCUUUUAGUUAUUUUAUUUUACAAUUUAUUUAUUUUAUUAAUUAAUUCUAAUUGAUUAAAUAAAUAUUUCAAAAUUAAAAAAAUACUUUGAUCUAAAGUCAAGUGGCCUUUUCAAAAAUUCACCAUCUUUUGAUCGAUUCCAAAUCAACACAUAUCAAACCUUGAUCCAUAUCAAGAUCAUUUUCAAAACCAAAAUAAAAUACCUAAUUAUUUUCAAACAUCUUUCACAAAUAAGCUGAAAAAGGAAUAGUUGGUGUUGUCUACCACUCUUUUCCCCGAUUGUUUGGCUACGAGCCGUAUAGCUCAACCAUUCGAGCAUUCAUAAUCCGUUUAAAACUCUUAACUCGGUUCAUAUUGAGCCUCUUUCAUGAUUAAAUCUUGAGUGAUCUCAUUUUCAUGAUAAAUCGGACAAAAAAGGAAUAAAUGAGUGUAUACCUCUGUAAGACACCAAUUUUGACCCUAAGAUCCCUCAUGCAAUUUCAUCAUAAGCACUAGCAUUAGAAUCAUACCUUGGCAUCCUCCUAACCCCUCUCAUUGGGUUUGUUUUGGGAGAGAUCACCAAGCACCAUGUGAUUGUAUCAUACUUGUAUAUUAUCAUUUUACUAACCAAAAUACCAAAAAUAUGUCUUUGCAUUUGCCUAACUCUUUUGUAAAUUAUCAUUUUACUAACCAAAAUACCAAAAAUAUGUCUUUGCAUUUGCCUAACUCUUUUGUAGGUAGGGCAUGAUCACAUUGAUUUAUCAAGUCCAUAUCUAGGGUUUGAGGCCCUCAUGACAAAGAUCAUUACCAUGAAUUGAUCCAAGAAUGGUUAUGAGCAUCAUAUAUGAGUUCCAUUGAUUCCUACAUGUUAUAUUGAUCAAGUUUUCUUCAAGAGUUUGGAGGUGAUUUGCCUUGGAAACCCUAGUUUGUCUGGGUAUCUUGAGUAGCUUCUCCAACAACCUAUCUCACCAAUUGAUCAAAUUUUUCAAGGGACACUUCAAAUUUCAUCAUCUUAUGCAUAUAUGAUCUACCAUGAGCCAAGAAAGUCAAAAUAAUUUAAGCUUAGCAAGUUGGUUGAGGGUGGUUGGCCAGAUGAAUUCAUCUUAUCAAAACUGGGUCUCCCUAGACCCUAUCUCCUACAAUUUUCACCAUAUGAAAAUGAUUCAAAGCGAAAAGUUACUCUAAAUGACAUUUCAAAGCCUUGCACCAUUGCUAACCACUCCCUGCAAGCUUCUCAAGUGUGAUCAGAUCGUGUUUGAAGCAAGCAACCUCAAGUUCUGCACAUCAUUGAAGGUAAUUUUCAGAAAACUUCAUCUCUUCGAUUCUCACUUAAUUCUACUCAAUUCUCUUGGAGCUUUGGUUGUCUGAAGUCCUACCAAUGUAGGCAAGAAGAUUGAGUUGCUUAUAGGUCAAAUCGAAGUAACUCAGUUGACACACCUCAAAAUUCAACUCCUCAUAUCUUUCUAUAUAUGUGGAGUUAGUUAAAAUUGAGGUCAGUUUCGUGCUCUACGCCAUUUUUUCUUUCAGAUCAUGUCCUCCUUUUUUAUUUUGGUGAUGGUUGAAGUUGGACAAAUCCCGUGAGGUCUUCCGAAGAAGACGGUCGGAGUUACAGCUCCGACGGUGCGUUGGCACGUCUCCCAGCCACAUGAUCCAUUCAAUUUGUUUUAAUCUUAGGCGUUGGUUUUGAUUACCACACAUGUGGCGCGUUGACUAUGUUCCAUCAUGGAACGCGUGUUUGUGUCCACUUCAUCUGCCACCUCAAUUAAUGAGAGAGAUCAAGUGGCUCACGUUUUUUUUGAUUUUUUUAUUUUAAUUUUUAUUCCUUUGAUUUUCAUUAAUUCAUAUUAGUUUUAAUAUUGAUCCAAAAAAUAUGAGAGUUUCACCAAAUAAUUUCAAAUAAUUUUCUCUUUCAUAUUUUGAAUUAAAAUUAUUUUUUGGAUCAUUAUUAAUAUUUUUCAUGAUUUAAUUGACUUUGUGAAUAUUUUUAAUUGUUUAAAAAUACUUUGAAGUCUUUAAAAAUUAUGAAAUUUUUUCUCCAAGGUUUUUUGACCUUGUUUGACCUAUGAUAAAUCUCAUGGUCAUUUCUUUGUUGUUUUGAUGAGGUUUUAGGAAUUUGACAAACCAUAUUUAAUUUAAAUGUCUUAUUUUAGUAUUUUUAAUUUGAAUAAAUGUCAAAUAAUUGUGUUGACCUAUUGUGAUGAUUUGUGUAAGUUUGACUCAUGUUGUUGGGCCUUAGUCAAGGUUGAUUUGACUUGUUAAGUUAAUAUCAUUGGCUUUAGGGGAUUGAUGGAAUGUACAUUCCAUCUCCCAAAAUGAAUGAAUGAUAUUAAUUUGGUAAAAGUCCUCCUUUGACCAAUUUGAGUUUUGAUUCAUUCCCUUCCCUCUUCAUCUCAUUCCCCUUCUUUAUGCAUCCAUCUCAUUUGGCCUAUGAUAUCUCUAAGUCCUAAGGCUAGUUGAUUGCAAAAUCAACAUAAGUAUGGAUGAGAUUAGGCCACCUCUUUUGCAUAUUCUUUUUUUGUGUGGUAUGUUUCAUGAGCAUAGUCCAUUAUACUAUGUCUCUAACAUGCAUUAACACAAGGGAAUUUGGGGUUUAUAUAUGGCAUUCUUGCCUAUUGGAUUGCUACCCAUCGGUCAGAUCUUUUCAACUCUUAACUUUUAAUUUUGUGCAUAUGAUUAGUCUCUUCAUCUCCUCCCCAUUUCUUUAAUUUCAAAAUCUCUUCCUCCUUUCAAAAAACUUUGUUUGAACUUGUUAUUUUCUAAACUUUGACCACUUUGCAAAAGAUAGAAACUUUGGCCUUAUGCCAUUCUAUUUUCAAACUUCUUUUCUUAAUCAAACUUGUAAGUAGACUUAACUAUACUUGACCUAAACUUUCAAAAGCCAAAAAAGAACUAACUCAUUCAAACCAUUUUCAGGCCUUUGUGUUUUUCAAGCUUAAUUUUGUUAAAAGCAAUGCAUCCACUUUGAAAUUUGUAUCAUGAACUACGAGGUUUUAAUCCCUCAUUUUCAUGUUGGUACGUAGGCACAAGUCUGAAGGUCUUGUCAAACACAAAAAUAUAAUUAAUGAAUUCUUUUCUCAUCCCCUCACUCUAUUUGUUUGUAAACAUCAUUUUGUACAAAAUACAUAUGCACACAAAAAAGGGCUCCCUAGGAGUACCUAGGACACUUUGGGUGCUAACACCUUCCCUCUAUGUAACCAACCCCCUUACCUGUAAUCUCUGACAUUUUAUUAGUUUUGAAUUGAAACUUCUACUUUUGGGUUUUGUUUGUACUUUUUCCCUUUUCCCUUGGAAACAAUAAAAGCGCGAUGGCGAUCUUUGUUAUUUGAUGUCUAGUUUAAUUCAUAGCUUGAUGAUCAUGAAUUUACCGCUACAGAAAUUAAGUGACGACUCUGAUGGAGAGUAGUUUCCAGUGGGUUUAGCCUACUUUUUUAUGUGUAUAUAAUGUGUAUAUGUGAUGUAUAUAUAUAUAUAUAUAUAUAUAUAUAUAUAUAUAUAUAUAUAUAUAUAUAUAGUAUAUAUAUAUAUAUAUAUAUAUAUAUUAUAUAUAUAUAUAUAUAUAUAUAUAUAUAUAUAUACUAUAUAUAUAUAUAUAAUAUAUAUUAGUAUUAUACUAUAUAUAUAUAUAUUUGUGUGAUAUAAUAUGCCUGUUGUGCUUGGUGAUCUCUGAGUGGUGAGAUAAGUUCUAACUCGAACUUGAGUGAAAUUAAGAUAGGAGGAUGUUAUAGUCAUGUUCGACUUGUGUGGAGUAGUCCUUAACAAGUUGGCUUGAGAUCCAUCUGCUUAGUGGAGACCCUUUUGGAUUUGGAAAUGUCACACAAGUAUUUGUGGUUAGGUAUUAAUAUCUCUAAUUUGGGUCCGAGAAGCUGAGGACCGUAGAACAUAUACCCCCUCUUGGCCUAUUUAGGACAUAGUGUGGGAAUUGUUCAAGUGUAGACUUGAUAACAGUUGUUACACAAUACUACACUCAGACGAGUUUCUCUUGAGAAUAUUAUGGGUCGAUGAGUAAGUCAUCUUAACCUGUAAUAUCCGACAUAUGGAAUUAAGACUUUGGGGACUUUUUAGAACAUGAUAUACGGGUUUUUAUCCUUAGUUCACUCCUUUGGGAUGGUUAUUACCCAGACUCCAUGCUCGUGACUCAUAACAAACCCUUGAUUCUU